GCUGAAUAAUUUUUGAAAAGAAUUUUCGCGUAAAAUGCUGUUCAUUUACAAUCAAGAAAAUUCAAUUCUUGUAGAGAAAUGUAGAGGAUUGGUUAUUCAAUUAUUUUUUAGACAAUGUUUGGUGCUGGGAUGUGAAUCUUUUCAUUUUUUCAACUAUUGUGUGAAGAAGAAGAAAAAUGUUGAUUAAGAAUCAAGUAAUCUAUUCUUAAUAAAAAUGUAUCCAGAUUGGAAUGGAUUGAAAAGGAAGACGAGACUGACAUGGCUGUCCAUCAGACCAAAUUGGUUGUCGCCAGUUGUGACAGUUAAUGUAAAUGGAAACAGUCAUUCAGGUGAUGAAUAAUUGCAAAUAGCCUCCUUUGUUGAUUUAUGUGUGAUAGCGAUUCUUCAAAUGUUUGUUUUAUAGGGAGAACAAGAUAGAAUUGGAAAACGAAGAAUCAGCCUGGAUCACUAUUGCCCAGACCGAGGAAUGGAACUAGUUCCAGCCCUGGAUGUGGAAGGAGAUUGUAAAGAACCACACAUGCCACAAGAACUGAUUGUCACCUCCCAAUUGUACUUUCCUCCCAUCAACUAUGCUUUUU
rnacentral:misc_RNA from 1 species